GGGCCCGCACAAGCGGUGGAGCAUGUGGUUUAAUUCGAUGAUACGCGAGGAACCUUACCUAGGCUUAAAUGUAGAUUGACGUACUGGGAAACUAGUAUUUUCUUCGGACAAUCUACAAGGUGCUGCAUGGUUGUCGUCAGCUCGUGCCGUGAGGUGUCGGGUUAAGUCCAUAACGAGCGCAACCCCCUAUCAUUAGUUGCUAACAUUUAGUUGAGGACUCUAAUGAAACUGCCCGCGUAAGCGGAGAGGAAGGUGGGGAUGACGUCAAAUCAUCACGGCCCUUACGUCUAGGGCUACACACGUGCUACAAUGGUAAUUACAGAGGGAAGCAAACUGGUGACAGUGAGCCAAUCUUAAAAAUUAUCCCCAG
rnacentral:rRNA from 1 species